GGGGAGCUCCUGGCAGCUUCACAGAAGAGGCGUGACAUGUUGACAGCGGGGCCUGUGAGCUGGAGGAACUGGGCAAUGAAGGAUUACAGAUCAGACACAAGGUCUAAGUUCAUAGUUCACAAAGGCCAGCUUGAGGAGGGCUGCACACCCACACUCCUGCCAGCCUCGAUCUGUGAGCAGAAGCACAGAGGAUUCAGCCGAUGCCUCCAGCACCAGGUGGGACGGCUGAAGAGAAAGGAUGCACAAUGCAGGUGGCAGAUGGUACUCUCUACAGCGUGUUCUAGAGACAGAGAACAGGAGUUCCCCAUUGCUCAGCUGACCACUGUGACACUUGAUAGAUCAAUUCCUAUGGCAACGGCUCUAAGCACAAUGCACUAAAAAUAAAACGUGUGUGUGUGUGUGUGUGUGGUUUAAAUAGAA
rnacentral:lncRNA from 1 species